UACGUAGGGUGCGAGCGUUAAUCGGAAUUACUGGGCGUAAAGCGUGCGCAGGCGGUUCGUUAUGUCCGAUGUGAAAGCCCCGAGCUCAACUUGGGAAUGGCAUUGGAAACUGGCGGGCUGGAGUGUGGCAGAGGGGGGUGGAAUUCCACGUGUAGCAGUGAAAUGCGUAGAGAUGUGGAGGAACACCGAUGGCGAAGGCAGCCCCCUGGGCUAGCACUGACGCUCAGGCACGAAAGCGUGGGGAGCAAACAGG
rnacentral:rRNA from 1 species